UACGUAGGGUGCGAGCGUUGUCCGGAAUUAUUGGGCGUAAAGAGCUUGUAGGCGGUUUGUCGCGUCUGCUGUGAAAAUCCGGGGCUCAACCUCGGACUUGCAGUGGGUACGGGCAGACUAGAGUGUGGUAGGGGAGACUGGAAUUCCUGGUGUAGCGGUGAAAUGCGCAGAUAUCAGGAGGAACACCGAUGGCGAAGGCAGGUCUCUGGGCCACUACUGACGCUGAGAAGCGAAAGCAUGGGGAGCGAACAGG
rnacentral:rRNA from 1 species